UGCGAAAGUCGCCAGGAAUGGCUAAGUUCAUGAAUACUUUGUCCAUUGUGAAACACUUCAUCAAAUUUCUACGCGGGAACAUGGUAUUCGUGAACUUGGUUGUGCGCUGCAUAUGCUAAUAAGGUCUUCGCGCUUUAUUCAAUUAAUGAUAGUUAGUUCUCCACGAAUUCGUAUGGAUUCGUAUAUCGUCUUAAAGACUGAUAAAUAAACGAAGUUUUCAGGCAAAUAUUCGCAAUUUGCAAAAAUUUGUACUGGAGACCGACGCACAACUAAAAAAAAAAUAAAAAAAAUUAAAAAAAAUAAAAAAGAGGAUAAUGAAAAAAUGAAAUACGACGCUGCCUCGCAGAUUAGGCGUGCGCAUGGAACCUGGUUCACAAUUUGUGAAGCUUGUUUUGGCGUACCGCGCUUGGGAAAUGCGUGUGGAAGAAAAAAGCUUUGACCGCAAUAAAUGCAAUACAAAGUUUUCAUCUUUACGCGCGUCUUUUUCGCGCUAGGGCGUUUUGUCCGUCUUGCCCUGACGGGUAUUAUAUUUCGAUAAUACCACAAGAACUUUUUUGUCUUGAAAGUGAGUAUGCAUUAUCUUUCCUAAUAUCUCUGCUAGCGGGAUUUUUGCCCUCCCCGUGAAUAAAAUCGGUGCUAGCAGGGAUAUAUGUAUGUGCACUAACUUUUGCACCCCAUCUCUAGAUGGUCGCUUAAUCUCUGGUCGUGAGAUAGCAGAAGCUUUUUUCUUCAGGGCAUUCGACAAAACUUAAGGUUGACGACGAUUUUGACGGUAGCAAUAUGGCGACGUUUGUGCAAAUAAUAGUAUAGUAUAUUGUAGUAUCCGGCAUUAAUUCCGGCUGACAAUGGGCUGUGUUUCUUGGGCUGACACAGAUUCCUUCGGCUGCAUUUCUUCCGGUAUAUCUUCUCCCAUAUAUCUUCUCCGGCAUUAAA